rnacentral:rRNA from 1 species
UAGUCCACGCCGUAAACGAUGAUUACUCGGUGCUGGCGAUAUACUGUCAGUGCCUAAGCGAAAGUGAUAAGUAAUCCACCUGGGGAGUACGAUCGCAAGGUUGAAACUCAAAGGAAUUGACGGGGGCCCGCACAAGCGGUGGAGCAUGUGGUUUAAUUCGAUGAUACGCGAGGAACCUUACCUGGGCUUAAAUGCAUAAUGACAGGCUGAGAAAUCAGUCCUUCUUCGGACAGAAUGCAAGGUGCUGCAUGGCCGUCGUCAGCUCGUGCUGUGAGGUGUCGGGUUAAGUCCCGAUAACGAGCGCAACCCCUAUUUCUAGUUGCCAGCACAUAAUGGUGGGGACUCUAGAAAAACUGCCUACGCAAGUAGUGAGGAAGGUGGGGGACGACGUCAGGGGUCAUCACGGGGCCCUUACGUCCAGGGGCUACACACGUGCUACAAUGGGUAGAGACAGAGGGGCAGCCACCUGGGUGAC